AUGAAGGAGAAGAACGGGACUGGUGGUGGCUGUAGGAUUCUUGCAUUGUGGGAAAAAGCUUCAAAAGCAAAGAAGAUUGAUGAAACGUCUACACCGAAUCAGAGUGCAACUGCAUCGGGUACUUGUACCUAUCAUGUUCAGCUUGAGAGCAAUUUGCAAUUGACGUUAGUGCAACCACCGGAUGCGGAACAUGAACCGGAGAGCAGAGAAGCAACCCCAACCCCAAUUGUAAAAGAUGCUGAAACAAGUGAUGCAGAUGAUGAACCAAUGGAAGCAGAUUUGGAGGCACUCAAACCUGAUCCUGGGAAGCGGAUUCCCAUCUCAAUGUACGCUGUCAAUGACCAAGAUAGAGUAAGAAGAAGAUAUAUUGAGAUGCAGCCAUGUCAACCAAAGAAUCAUAACUUUGAGUAUACAAAUAAAAGUGGAGUUGACCGUCGCUUUUGCCGUGCUUGGUUUAAAGAAUUUCCAUGGAUUGAGUAUAGUGUGACAAAAGAUAGUGCUUUCUGCUUUGUUUGCUAUUUGUUUAAGGAUAAGACAAAAUAUCCCGGUGGAGAUGCAUUUGUGAAGAAUGGAUUUAGGAACUGGAAAAUGAAAUCGAGAUUGAAGAAACAUGAAGGUGAUGUUAGUAGUGCUCAUGCUGAAGCUCAAGAGAAGUAUGAUAUGUUCACUACACCAAAAGCAUCAAUUAGGGAGUCUUUUGCUUCAAACACCUCACAAUAUAAGGCUUUGUAUAAGCAGCGUUUGACAUGGACACUCAAAUGUUUGAGAUUUCUAUUGCACCAAGGCUUGGCAUUUAGAGGACAUGAUGAAAGUGAAAACUCACUAAAUAAAGGAAAUUUUCUUGAGCUUUUAAAUUGGCUAGCUGGAAAUUUUGAAGAGGUUGAUAGGGAGAGUGGUGAUUGUACUUGGUUCUUUCAACAACUUGCACACUUGUUAAAUGCUCUUGGCAUGUCUUGUAAAAAGAUGAGAAUGCUUCAUAUAGCUCAGGCUGAGGAACUCAUUGAUGCAUUGGAAUUGGAAGAAGUAGAAACAGGGAGUGGGCUGAAUCAGGAAAUGGGUUUGGGAAGGCCAUGUGAUACAUGUUGGGGCUCUCACUUCAAAACCGUGAACCAUGUCAUCCGUAUGUAUGGUGCAAUACGACGAGUCCUCAUCAAGAUUGGAAAAGAGUACCAUGGUGCGGAGGCGCAAGCGGCUCUAACCAUUUUGACACCAUUUUGAUCAUUUGAGUUUGUUUUCAUGGCACACUUGAUGCAAGAAAUAUUUGGAUGCACAGAUGAGUUGAGUAGAGCUUUGCAAAAGCAAGACCAGGAUAUUGUUCAUGCUAUUGAGCUUGUUGAUAUCUCAAAAUAUCACUUGGAGGGUUUGAGGACUGAUCCUGGAUGGGAUGAUUUUCUCAAAAAGGUCACAUCUUUUUGCACAAAGCAUAAGAUCAAAAUUGUUGAUGGAGGGUCCUACUUUCCCGCCGGUCGGCCUAGAAGGGGUUUCUUUAAUGGUGCAAUGAAUUACCAUCGCUUCAAAGUUGAUAUGUAUCUGAGUGUCAUUGAUAGGCAAAUUACUUGCAUGGCAGCAUUUUUUCCACUUCGUCUAUUUGCUGCUUAUGAUCAAGAGAAAUUGGUUAGGCUUGCUACAAAGUUUUAUGCUAAUGAUUUCACAAGUGAUGAACUGGCAAGACUUCCAUGGCAACUAAACAUGUAUGUUACUCAUGUGCGUAGAGAUGAAAGGUUUCAAAACUUGAAGAAUUUGUGUGAGCUUUCAGUUAUGCUUGUCGAGACAAACAAGCAUGAACAAUACUAUAUUGUUUACAAGCUUCUUAAGUUGGUACUAAUUCUGCCAGUAGCUACUGCUAGUGUUGAAAGGGUGUUCUCUUCAAUGAACUAUGUGAAGAAUAAGCUAAGGAGCAAAAUGGGUGACGAUUACUUGAACAAUUGUUUGGUUACAUUUGUUGAGAGAGAAUUCUUCAAUAAAGUAAAGGAUGGGGAUGUCAUCAAUCUCUUCCAAAAAGGCGAUCGCAAAGUUAUAUUGUAA
rnacentral:rRNA from 1 species